UUAAAUUGAAGAGUUUGAUCAUGGCUCAGAUUGAACGCUGGCGGCAGGCCUAACACAUGCAAGUCGAGCGGAAACGAGUUAUCAGAACCUUCGGGGGACGAUAACGGCGUCGAGCGGCGGACGGGUGAGUAAUGCCUAGGAAAU
rnacentral:rRNA from 1 species